rnacentral:rRNA from 1 species
GUGUCAGCCGCCGCGGUAAUACGAAGGGACCUAGCGUAGUUCGGAAUUACUGGGCUUAAAGAGCACGUAGGUGGUUAAGAAAGUUGGUGGUGAAAUCCCAAGGCUUAACCUUGGAACUGCCACCAAAACUUUUUAACUAGAGUAUGAUUGAGGUAAGCGGAAUUUCUAGUGUAGAGGUGAAAUUCGUAGAUAUUAGAAAGAACACCAAUUGCGAAGGCAGCUUUCUGGAUCAUUACUGACACUGAGGUGCGAAAGCAUGGGUAGCGAAGAGGAUUAGAUACCCUCGUAGUCCAUGCCGUAAACGAUGUGUGCUAGACGUUGGGAAUUUAUUUUUCAGUGUCGCAGCAAAAGCGUUAAGCACACCGCCUGGGGAGUACGACCGCAAGGUUAAAACUCAAAUGAAUUGACGGGGACCCGCACAAGUAGUGGAGCAUGUGGUUUAAUUCGAAGAUACGCGCAGAACCUUACCAACACUUGACAUGUUCGUCGCAACUCUAAGAGAUUAGAGUUUUCGGUUCGGCCGGACGAAACACAGGUGCUGCAUGGCUGUCGUCAGCUCGUGUCGUGAGAUGUUGGGUUAAGUCCCGCAACGAGCGCAACCCUUACUUUUAGUUGCUACCAUUUAGUUGGGCACUCUAAAAGAACUGCCGGUGAUAAGCUGGAGGAAGGUGGGGAUGACGUCAAGUCCUCAUGGCCCUUAUGUGUUGGGCUACACACGUGCUACAAUGGUAUUUACAGUGGGAUGCAAAGAGGCAACUCCUAGCCAACCCUCAAAGAAUACCUCAGUUCGGAUUGUACUCUGCAACUCGAGUACAUGAAGCUGGAAUUACUAGUAAUCGCGGAUCAGCGCGCCGCGGUGAAUACGUUCCCGGGUCUUGCACACACUGCCCGUC